GUACCGCCUGCGCGCGCUGCCGGGCGAGGGGCGGCGCGGCGGAGGCCGAGGGAGCGGGCACCAUGUCGGGCCGAGAGGGCGGCAAGAAGAAGCCGCUGAAGCAGCCGAAAAAGCAGUCGAAGGACCUGGAUGAGCCAGCGGUGGAAUAAAGAAGUCUGGCAAAAAGUAGUUUGGUGGAACUGCGGGGUGAGCAGCGAUGGAGUCGCUCAGUGGAUCUGCAGACUUCGGAGAGUCAUGAAAACUCACUGUCAUUUGGGAAACAUUGUACAUUUUGUUUAGUGGGAAUAAAUCGUUUUUGUUAAGAUGUAAUAUUUUCUCUCUUUACCUGUAGGUUUUGUUUUAAAAAUGGCAUUAGUGAUUUAUAGUAGAAAUGAAACUUGACUGAAGGCCACCUGUGACCUUAUGCAGCCUCAGUUGGUUUGGUAGUCAUUUGUGAGAAUAAAUGUCAACUUCUGCUCUUC